UUCCGGUUGAUCCUGCCAGAGGCUACUGCUAUCGGGGUUCGAUUAAGCCAUGCGAGUUAAAUGUUCUUCGUGAACAUAGCGAACUGCUCAGUAACACGUGGAUAACCUACCCUUAGGACCGGAAUAACCCCGGGAAACUGGGGAUAAUACCGGAUAAGCCAUAGACGCUGGAAUGCACUAUGGUUCAAAGCUCCGGCGCCUAAGGAUGGAUCUGCGGUCUAUCAGGUUGUAGUGGGUGUAACGUACCUACUAGCCGACGACGGAUACGGGUUGUGAGAGCAAGAGCCCGGAGAUGGAUUCUGAGACACGAAUCCAGGCCCUACGGGGUGCAGCAGGCGCGAACACUUUACAAUGCGGGAAACCGCGAUAAGGGAACCCCGAGUGCCAGCAUCAAAUGUUGGCUGUCCAGAUGAUUAAAAAUCAUUUGUUAGCAAGGGCCGGGCAAGACCGGUGCCAGCCGCCGCGGUAACACCGGCGGCCCGAGUGGUAGCCGUUUUUAUUGGGUCUAAAGGGUCCGUAGCCGGCCUGAUAAGUCCUUUGGGAAAUCUGGCAGCUUAACUGUCAGGCUUCUAAGGGAUACUGUCAGGCUUGGGACCGGAAGAGGUAAGGGGUACUCCAGGGGUAGGAGUGAAAUCUUGUAAUCCCUGGGGGACCAUCUGUGGCGAAGGCGCCUUACCUGAACGGGUCCGACGGUGAGGGACGAAAGCUAGGGGAGCAAACCGGAUUAGAUACCCGGGUAGUCCUAGCUGUAAACGAUGCUCGCUAGGUGUCAGACAC
rnacentral:rRNA from 1 species